rnacentral:lncRNA from 1 species
UGUUAUUACCAAUACAUUAAACUUUAAAAAUAUGUGUCUAAGCAAAUGAUUGUACCCAAAUAAAAGAAACAAAUGAGGUUUGUUUAAACAUAUCCCAGGCCUUUAGACAUUUCCCCCAAAAGGAUAAGUUUUAAAAGUUUAGGGUCUCUUUCUAGAAUGACCCAUUAAUUUCUCCUGUUAGCAAUUUAAGUGAAAAUGAACUUUUCUGCCUAAUCGGGCUGUAACUUUCCUACUUUCAAAUUACUACUUUCCUUCUUUCAAAAUGACUAUUGACUAGUAUAGUCAUGUCAUAAACACAUGAUUUCUCCUCAGAGAAAUGAGGCCAAUAAAACCCACAAAAGGUAUAAAUGUGCCUCCCCAUUUAGCUGGCCCAUAAUCCAUUUCUAGUUACUUCAUCCCAGCCCCAAUUUAGUUCUGUUCAUUUGUCCCUGCUUCCCAUUUUAGGCAGUGCUCUGUAUGGACAUGAAAUGCAUUUGGGAAACUACCUGCAACAAAUGUAAGUUCAGACCUUUUACCAUAUAGCUGACAACAUUUUAUUAUCCUUGAUUGGGGAUUUUAUUCACAUCAAUAAUGUGAGACACUGGUUUUUUGAUAAUUUGAAGACUUGUUCUGUUUUCUUUUCUUCUUCUUUCCCCACCCCCACAGUAGUCACUAGACCCAUUCACCAAUAUUCUGGGUUUUCUUCUUCCAGGUGCAUAGUAAGAUUGAAGUAUUCUGUCCUCUCCACAUUUAGCUAUGACCCUGAGAUUUGCUUUGGCAAAUGAGAAAUUACAUUAUAUUAAUAAAUUAUUAAUGUCAUAAGAAAUUACAUUAACAAAGUGAUAGAGUGAUAAAGAGCUAAUGUGCAAUUCACCAAAUCCUCUUUCCUAGGCUGUAGGAGGUAGUGACCCCCAAAUGGAGUUUCCAUAAACCUGCCACUCCUUGAAAAGACGGUUUAGAGUGGAGACUUCUCCUACCCACAUGGGCAUUUAGCAUGCUUAGGAAGCCAAGCUUUAUUAGUGUGUUUGUUAGAGAUGUUUAAAGGAGUCACCUAGCC